UGCUUAAACUUGACAUCAUUGCCAAAUGAAUUGAGCAACCUCACAUCUUUAACUACCUUUGAUAUAAGUGUGUGCUCAAACUUGACAUCAAUUCCAAAUGAAUUGGGCAACCUUACAUCUUUGAUUACCUUCGAUAUAAGUGGAUGCUCAAACUUGACAUCAUUGUCAAAUGAAUUGGGCAACCUCACAUCUUUGACUACCUUGAAUAUGGGAAACUGCUCGAAAUUGACAUCAUUGCCAAAUGAAUUGAGUGACCUCUCAUCUUUGACUACCUUGAAUUUAAGUAAAUGCUCAAGCUUGGUAUCAUUGCCAAAAAAAUUGGACAACCUCACAUCUUUGACUAUCUUGGAUAUAUGUGAGAGCUCAAGUUUGACAUCAUUGUCAAAAGAAUUGGGCAACCUCACAUCUUUGACUAUCUUAAAUAUGGAAAAUCGCUUAAGAUUGAUAUCAUUGUCAAAUGAAAUAGGCAACCUUAUAUCUUUAACUACCUUGGAUAUAUGUGAAUGCUCAAGCUUGACAUUAUUGCCAAAAGAAUUAGGCAAUCUCACAUCUUUGACUACCUUGAAUAUAAGUGGAUGCUCAAGCUUGAUAUCAUUGCCAAAUGAAUUAGGUAAUCUCAAAUCUUUGACUACCUUAAAUAAAAGUAAGUGCUCAAGCUUGGUAUCAUUGUGAAAUGAAUUGGAAACCUCACAUCUUUGACUACGUUAAAUAUAAAAUUUACCUAAGAAUAUUAUCAUUGCCAAAUGAAUUAGACAAUCUUAUAUCUUUGACUACCUUAAAUAUGAAAAAUUACUCAAGAUUGACAUCAUUGCCAAAUGAAAUGAGAAACCUCUCAUCUUUGACUAUUGUUGAUAUAAGUGGUUGCUCAAACUUGACAUCAUUGUCAAAUUAAUUGAGAAUCCUCAUAUCUUUGACUACCUUUGAUAUAAAUGGGUGCUCAAACUUGACACUUUUGCCAAAUGAAUUGGGCAACCUUAAGUCUUUUACUACUUUUGAUAUAAGUAGGUGCUCAAACUUGACAUCAUUAUUAAAUGAAUUGGGUAACCUUACAUUUUUGACUACCUUAAAUAUGAGAAGCUACUCAAGAUUGACAUCAUUACCAAAUGAAUUGGGCAACCUUACAUCUUUGACUACUUUCAAUAUAAGUAGGUACUCAAACUUGAUAUCAUUGUCAAAUGAAUUAGAUGACCUCACAUCUUUGACUACCUUAAAUAUGAAAAACUGCUCAAGAUUGACAUCAUUGCCAAAUAAAUUAUGUGACUUCAUAUCUUUGACUACCUUGCAUAUGUGGUGGUGCUCAAGCUUAACAUCAUUGUUAAUUGAAUUGAACAUCUUUACAUCUUUGACUACCUUUUAUAUAAAUAAUUAUUUAAGAUUAACAUUAAUGCCAAGUAAAUUUUAUAACUUCACAUCUUUGACUACCUUGAAUAUAGAUGGGUACUCAAGCUUGACAUCAUUGCCAAAUGAAUUAGGCAAUCUCACAUCUUUGACUAUCUUAAGUAUGAGAAGUUGCUCAAGAUUGACAUCAUUGCCAAAUAAAUUAGGCAAAUUCACAUAUUUAACUACCUUUGAUAUAAGUGGGUGUUCAAGCUUGAUAUUAUUACAAAAUAAAGUUGAGAACUCUGCAUUUUCAACUCCCUUUAUUAGAAGUGAGUGCAAAAGCCUAAUGUCAUUGCCAAAAGAUUUGGACAUCAUUAAUUCUUUAACUACCUUAAAAAGAAGGUUCUUAAGUUUGACAUCAAUGCUAAAUGAAUUUUACAACCAUUCAUCUUUAAUUAUUCUUCAUAUAAAUGAAUGCAAAAAUUUGAUAUUAUUACCAAAUGAAUUGGCUAACCUCAUCUCUCCAACUAUCUUAAGAAUAAGUGAGUAGUCAAACUUGAUAUCAUUGCCUAUUAAAUUAGUCUAGCUUAUAGCUUUAAUAACUUUACAAAUAAGUAAGUGCAAAAGCAUAAUAUCUUUGUCAAAUGAAUCAGGUAACUUCAUAGCUUUGACUACCUUAAGUAUUUUGAGGUGCGAAAGCUUGACAUCGUAGCCAAUCGAAUUGGGCAACUUUACAGCUCUUCCACCUGAAGAAUCUCUACUACCUGAAGCAACCGUGACCACCUUCCACCCAACAAAUCGUGCGUAGGAAGCCUCCAGCCGCAUCGCCUGUACCAACACGAUAUCAAUAGCAGGAUGGAGAUCUAGGUCCGGCAACCAGGUCGACGCUAUUAACUAAUGACGCCAGUUUACCCGCUUAUCUGCUUAGCUACGCUAUGAACAGAGUAAGAGUGAACAAAAUCAGAUAGUACUCCCAUGAACAAGGAACCUUGAUAAAGCACGAGCACAUGAAUAAACGUAAGCACAUGGAAACAGGUGACUACUACAAGACACACUUUACUUAGUAAACAAAGAUUAAUUUAUACAGAUGAUAGCCCCCUGUAUCUGCCUGAGACCCGGUUGGUCUUGAUACCCUCGAGGAACUAAUGGCUUACGGGUUUUACUUAGUCUAGGUCUCGGGGUGUAUCGUUCAACACUCCCCCUCACCCCAGAGACCCUUAGUCUAUAUUCUAGAUUCAACUUUGCGAGAUUUCCUAAAAUUUCUCAAGGGUAUUGAUAUUGCACUGUGAUUCUAUUUAUGGCGGACUUGUGUUUGUGUCUGAUGAUGCAGAAUGUGGAAUACACCCCUGAUUCUCCGUGUCGGGCUUUCUGUAUGGUUGUGUGGGCACUAUUAAAGUUCCUCGCAACCAUAUGUGACUGGUUGUCGACUCAAUUAGAAAGAAGAAUCCUUGCUUUUCGGCAAAAUCCUUCCAGUUUGAGAGGUGAACAACGUCGCCCACGACACUUCCUCUGUUCCUGUUGAUGAUACUGCAUGUUCGAUUCUUCCGAAGAGUUCCUUAUGCAAGAUUUCCAGCUCCAGCGGAUUACCUGUCACGUCUACUUUGCAUGAUCGUGAUAAAUGCUGUGCGAUCCGUAUUGACCGGCGUCUAGGAGUGUAUGCUUCAUGUGCUGAAUGUGAGGCGAAAGUUAAAAGGUUUCAAGGGGCACAAUAUAGGUCCUUUCGGAGCAGAAUUAAGGCUGAAGAGUAUAUAUCAAGCUAGUUGUUUUUAUUUUUUAGUUUUAUUUAACACCGUAUAGUACUAAGUGAGCUAAAUAAUAAUAAUAAUAAUAAUAAGAUUGAAUUUUUCCCGAAAUUUAUCAAAUAAGGACCUCCCUAGGGGUUUUGUAAAAAUAUCCGCCACUUGUUCUAAAGUGGGUACAUAUUGAAGCAUAAUUUCACCUGACUAUAUUUUUUCUUUGGUGAAA